rnacentral:rRNA from 1 species
UACGUAGGGUGCGAGCGUUAAUCGGAAUUACUGGGCGUAAAGGGAGCGUAGGCGGUUAGUCAAGUUCGGUGUGAAAGCUUUACCACUUAACGGAAAGAGGUCAUCGAAAACUGGCUGGCUAGAGUAGGGUAGAGGCAAGCGGAAUUCCUGGUGUAGCGGUGGAAUGUGUAGAUAUCAGGAAGAACAUCGGUGGCGAAGGCGGCUUGCUGGGCCCUUACUGACGCUG